rnacentral:misc_RNA from 1 species
AAAAGCUAUCUCAAGAGUGGUGGCUAUGGUCACCGAGCAACUGAAAACUUUGGGAUAGAUAGCCACCCCUUAGCCAAUGGAAUCAAGUCCAAGGUUAGAUGGUUAACCAUACAGCUGGAAUCAGACUUUAAAAUAUACCUUUGCCACCCCCCAGAAUCUUGUCCAUGAACAGCUUUGAAAAAGAUACUCUAUUUUGACACCAUUUGUGUAUUGAUCCAAGAUAUUCAUCCUCAAAGGGUGAGAAAAUUCUUAUUUUAAUAGGCCUUCUUUGUAUAAGUGAAGGGUUAUAGGCAUGGCUACUCUUAUCAGCAACUUCUGCUUUAGUGCUUUGUUCUUAUUGCUCUGUUCGCUUGUCCUUGCACUUGGGCAGAACUUGUUGAGCUGUGAAACUACAUCUUCUGAUGCUUCUGGCUACCGUUGUAAUGUUUAUGGAUCGCAGGAUCGGUGCAAGACAUUUGCCGUUGUUUCCACUAAUCCUUACUUCUCUUCUCUCUCCAAUUUGAGUUUUUAUUUGGGUUUAAAUCGGUUUGCAAUUGCUGCAGCAAAUGGUUUCUCUGCUGACACAGAGUUUCUUCCAAAAGAUCAGCCUCUGUUGAUACCAAUCGUUUGUAAAUGCAACGGUAGUUUCUUUCAGGCUGAAGUGACCAAAACAACCAUCAAGGGGGAGAGUUUUUAUGGCAUUGCUGAGUCCCUGGAGGGCUUGACGACCUGCAGAGCUAUCCAAGAGAAGAAUCUGGGCAUCUCACCUUGGAAUCUUGGUGAUAAAACUCGAUUAUUGGUACCACUUAGAUGUGCCUGUCCAUCGUCAUCUGGAGUUGGUCUAGCAACAAGAAUCUUGCUCUCUUAUCCUGUAAGUGAAGGUGAUACAAUCUCAAAUCUAGCCAUUAAGUUCAAUAUUACACCAGAAGCUAUUAUAUCUGCGAAUAAUAGAUCAUUAGCAAACUUUAAACCUGGAAGCCUUGCACCUCCUGCAUCUCUUUUGAUACCACUUAACAGUGAGCCUGCCCCUGGUCCCCUUGCAAAACCACGGGAACCCAAUCCACGUUUUCCCGAAAGAAGCAUCCCAGUAAUUAAUCCACAUAAGAAAAAGUCCAAGAUGUGGAUGGUAGGAAUUUAUAUUGCUGUUUCUGGGGUUGUAGUUGGAGCGAGCAUUGCCAUUGCAGCAGCCUUCUUGGUUAUCCAACUGAAGAAGAAGAAGCAGAAUUCGAACAAGGAUGGAGAUCCGGAGCUUCAACAGCUUAGUUUAAGUGUAAGAACCACGAGCGAGAAGAAAGUCUCAUUUGAUGGAUCCCAGGAAGGUCAGAUCAUUGAUACCACACCCCGUAGGGUGCUUGUGGAGACUUAUUCUGUAGAGGAGCUAAGAAAAGCAACUGAAGACUUCAGUUCAAGCAAUCUUAUUGAUGGCUCCGUAUACCAUGGUCGUCUAAAUGGGAAGAACUUGGCAAUAAAGCGCACGAAUUCAGAAUCUAUAUUGAAGAUUGAGUUCGGGCUUCUCCACAAUGCGACACGCCAUCAUCUGAACAUAAUUAGGCUGUUGGGGACAUGCUCAAGUGAUGGACCUGAUUCAUUUUUAGUGUUUGAAUAUGCUAAAAAUGGGUCUUUGAAGGAUUGGCUUCACGGUGGAUUGGCCAUGAAGAACCAGUUCAUAGCCUCCUGCUAUUGUUUCUUGACAUGGAAUCAGAGGCUGAAGAUAUGCCUUGACAUAGCAAUGGCCUUACAGUACAUGCAUCAUGUCAUGAACCCAAGCUAUGUUCAUAGAAAUGUAAAGAGUCGGAACAUCUUCUUAGAUGAAGAAUUUAAUGCAAAGAUUGGGAAUUUCGGCAUGGCAAGGUGUGUUGAUGACGAUGCAGAGGACCAAGAAUUCCAUUCUACUAAUCCUGCCUCAUGGAGUCUGGGGUACUUGGCUCCAGAGUAUAUUCAUCAAGGCAUAGUUUCUCCAAGCAUGGACAUAUUUGCUUUCGGGGUAGUCUUGCUGGAGGUGAUAUCAGGGAAAUCACCAAUAACAAGAUCUGACAACAAGGGGGAAGGAAGUAUUUGGCUCUCAGAGAAAAUCAAGUCCAUACUGUCAUCAGAAAAUGCAGAUGAGCUCAGGGAAUGGAUGGACAAAUCAUUGGGAGAAAAUUAUUCGUUCGAUACAGCUGUGACACUGGCCAAUCUUGCACGAUCAUGUGUGAAUGAAGAGCCUUGUUCAAGACCAAAAGCAGGAGAAAUUGUGGAGAAGUUAUCAAGGCUAGUGGAAGAAUCACCAGAAGGAGAGCAAAUUUUAAUCAGCGAAAGCUCAUCAAAACCUCUAGUAACGGCAGCAGCAACCAGUCUGUGAAUAAUAAGAAGUUCAAAGGAUCCAAAAGCAGCAGGCCCCAGUAAGGAAUUCCAGUUCUUGGUUCGUUUUAGACUCUUGAUGAGUGGGAUCAAUAUUGUAAAUAUUUAAUCAAGAAAAAGAGUGAACAAAGCAAGCAACUCUCUACACUACUCUGUAAUCUGUUUCUGCUGCUGAAAAAUAAUAGAACCACAUAUAUUGUAUUUUAUAAUUCAGGAAUAUCAUAAAGAUUGAAAAGCUACCUACUUUUGUUUGGU